GAUGAACGCUGGCGGCGUGCCUAAUACAUGCAAGUCGAGCGAACGGACGAGAAGCUUGCUUCUCUGAUGUUAGCGGCGGACGGGUGAGUAACACGUGGAUGACCUACCUAUAAGACUGGGAUAACUUCGGGAAACCGGAGCUAAUACCGGAUGAUAUUUUGAACCGCAUGGUUCAAAAGUGAAAGACGGUCUUGCUGUCACUUAUAGAUGGAUCCGCGCUGCAUUAGCUAGUUGGUAAGGUAACGGCUUACCAAGGCAACGAUGAAUAGCCGACCUGAGAGGGUGAUCGGCCACACUGGAACUGAGACACGGUCCAGACUCCUACGGGAGGCAGCAGUAGGGAAUCUUCCGCAAUGGGCGAAAGCCUGACGGAGCAACGCCGCGUGAGUGAUGAAGGUCUUCGGAUCGUAAAACUCUGUUAUUAGGGAAGAACAUAUGUGUAAGUAACUGUGCACAUCUUGACGGUACCUAAUCAGAAAGCCACGGCUAACUACGUG
rnacentral:rRNA from 1 species